AAGCUUAGGUUAGACAAACCAGAGGCCUUCAAAGCCUCAAACAAGGACUCACCCCCUUAGCUUUUG
rnacentral:tRNA from 1 species